ensembl:lncRNA
GGCAAAGCAAAUAGCUGUUUAAUUUUUUCUCUCUGACAAUCAGAAUCAAGCUCAGUUCUUCAAGACUAUUAUGAUUUCUUCAGCUUUCCAGAUUUUACUCCCUCUGAUGAGCACUAUCAAAAAACAAUGAAUUCCUCAUGGAUUGAGGGGGACUAAGAUCUGCAUCUAUGCUAUGAAUCACCCAGCAGAUACAUGGAUAUAGAACAAAGAAAGUUAAUGAAGAUCUCCAGAGAUGGUCAUCAUUAUAUUUCCACUUCCUAAUUAAGGCUUAAGUGUUUCCUUUUGCUUUGAAGAAACAGAUACGCAGCUUCUUAUCAGGAUCACGUACUUAUAUAAGACAAAAAGAGCUCCAACAUGUUACUUCUGGAAAUGCCCACACAUUUACAUUUUCCGAAGCUAUAUCCUCAGAACCACUCCCAGUUUACACCGAUGCUGAUAUUGUCCUAAGAAAGCUAUACUGAUUUGCACCAGACAAUCUGUUUUGGUCUUCGAAUUCAACAGGGUCAUUCUUGCUUAUCACUUUUAAAACUGGGCUGUGAGAGGAAGGAAUUGGAAGAACAGGGCCUCUGAUUCUCUAACAUUUUCUACAACCAGAGGUAAUCUUAGAUGUGGAGUGAAUGAAGUGAAGUCUGUUAUCAAUCCAUAACAUCUGCUGCAGUGUCAAGUGAUGAAAUGGGUGACUCCAGAGCCCAAGACAGCUGGGAUGGCUUUCUUAAUGCAGUAGGGACAAAAAAAGAAAAAAAGAAGCAAAACAAAACAAAACAAAACAGGAAAAAAAAAAAAAAAGAAUAAGAAGAAAGAAAUCUGACCACUAUGAACAAUGCAUUUAAUUCCCUCUUGUAUAUGUGGGAGAGAGGGCAUGCAGACUUGUGGAACUGGUUCCAAUCUCACUGUUGGUGAUGAGGUGGAGAAGAUGCGUUGCUUCUUACCAGGAGACUGGAAGAACCCAAAUGAAGAUGAAUAGAUUGUCUUACUUCAGUACGAAUCAUAGACUGUCUUGGGCUGGAAGGGACACUAAAGAUCAUCUAAUUCCAACCUUCUUGUUGAGAACAAAUUGCUGCAGACUGCAAAAAGGACAGAUUCUCUUGGGAUUCCUCAAGCAUAUUGCUGGGAUGGUCAUGGGAACAAAGUCAUCUCUGCCAUAUAAGCAGUCAUACAAAGUCCCAGAGCAAGAUUUUCAUCAAUGGGCUGGACAGAAGCACAUCUGGCUGGUGGUUACACUUCAAGGUAUGAUUCACAGUGGUAUCCCCAAUCUGCCAUCCAAAGGAUGACUUUAUUCCCCAUCAGUCAUGAAAUACGUUCCUUUAUUUCAAUAGAAAUUUCCUUAAUGAUUGCUACUUU